GACGAACGCUGGCGGCGUGCUUAACACAUGCAAGUCGAACGGAAAGGCCCUGCUUUUGUGGGGUGCUCGAGUGGCGAACGGGUGAGUAACACGUGAGUAACCUGCCCUUGACUUUGGGAUAACUUCAGGAAACUGGGGCUAAUACCGGAUAGGAGCUCCUGCUGCAUGGUGGGGGUUGGAAAGUUUCGGCGGUUGGGGAUGGACUCGCGGCUUAUCAGCUUGUUGGUGGGGUUGUGGCUUACCAAGGCUUUGACGGGUAGCCGGCCUGAGAGGGUGACCGGCCACAUUGGGACUGAGAUACGGCCCAGACUCCUACGGGAGGCAGCAGUGGGGAAUAUUGCACAAUGGGCGGAAGCCUGAUGCAGCAACGCCGCGUGCGGGAUGACGGCCUUCGGGUCGUAAACCGCUUUCGCCUGUGACGAAGCGUGAGUGACGGUAAUGGGUAAAGAAGCACCGGCUAACUACGUG
rnacentral:rRNA from 1 species